rnacentral:lncRNA from 1 species
CAACAUCCGAAACCAUAUCUCCCACCAACAAACCACCAAGCAAACCAGCACCCAAUCCCAAACCUAAUCCACCUCCCAUUCCACCAAACUUGUUCUUUUUCUUAGGUUGUUGCACCGGUGGAUAUCCGUAUCCAGGUUGUUGUACGGGUGGAUACCCGUAACCAGAUUGUGGUUGCGGGUAUCCAUAACCAGGUGCACCACCAGCAGGUGGGUAUCCAGUGUGUGGAUACCCACCAUAAGAAGUUUGAGGAGGAGGAGGAGGAUACGCAUAUCCGGGAUUUUGCUGAUGAUUAUAAGCCAUACCAUAUGAUGCACCAGCAGCAUGUGGUGGUGCAGGAUAAGCAGUAACAGGCUCAUGAUUUACCUCUUUCUUUUGAUCAGCCGCUGUAAAUAUUU